rnacentral:misc_RNA from 1 species
GUGGACAGAAGGAACGUUGAUAGUUUUGGAAGACAUAAAACUAGGAUUGUUGCCAUAGAUGCAUUAAGCAAUCCAGGGAUGAGACAGUACAAAAUUAACUACCUCCUUCGGGAGAUCAAUAAGGCAUUUUGUGGCUUUUCUGAUCUAGCCAAAUAUGAUCAUUACAAAAGAUUAUUUCAGAACAGUGGUCCUCAAGGAGCAGAUUCUGAAGAACAUUAUAAAUAUGGGAAUGUUUUAUCCAUGAAUAACUUUCUGGUGAGGGGUAGUAACGAUCUCGUUGAGGAUUCUGGCGAGAAGAGCACUUGGUGUCUAGACCAUAAAGAUAAAAUUGGAAUUGCAACCGGGAAUUGGGGCUGUGGUGCUUUUGGAGGAGAUCCUGAACUAAAGACCAUAAUUCAGUGGCUUGCAGCUUCUCAGGCAUUAAGACCUUCCAUUUUCUACUACACCUUUGGCAUUGAGGCGCUGAGUAACCUGGAUCAGGUAAGCCAAUGGAUUCAGUCACAUGAAUGGACAGUUGGAGAUCUGUGGAAUAUGUUGGUGGAGUACUCAUCUAAGAGAUUUAACAGAGAAACUAACGUAGGCUUCUUUACAUGGCUGCUUCCAUCGCUUUGCUGAGACAUG